CCCCUCUCAGGGUCACACCCGGAGAGUUUCCAGUCCUCUACCAGUUUCGACUACGGGAGGGAGAGCCAAGCAGGGGCCUACCCAUUCCAUUCCUAGCUCGGGCAGUGGCUAGCAAGUGGAAGGCAGCCUGCUACAAGU
rnacentral:snoRNA from 1 species